AUGGACCAUGAAAUCAAUGCUUUGGAGCGCAUGCUGCUGGAUGAAAGCGCAGAGCCAACAGAUCUGCCAUUUUCACUUCUACAAGACAUCACAAACUGUUUCUCUGACGACCGGCGAAUCGGCAGCGGCGGGUUUGCGGUUGUUUAUAAGGGGAUGACCAGACAUGGGAUGGUCGCUGUAAAGAAGCUGUCCAAACUCUUUGACAUAGAAGAGAAGAAGUUCCACAAGGAGGUUGAAUGCUUGGUGAAGGCCAAGCACAAGAAUAUAGUACGAUUUCUGGGAUAUUGCGCUGAAACACAAGGUAAAAUUGCGGACUACGAGGGGAAGUUUGUCAUUGCAGAUACACGCAACUGGUUGCUCUGUUUUGAGUAUGUACCCAAUGGGAGCCUUGAUAAGUAUAUUGCAGACCCAUUUCAUGGAAUUGAAUGGAGGGAGCGCUUUGAGAUAAUUAAGGCAAUAUGUGAGGGCUUACAUUAUCUUCAUGGCAAGCGUAUUCUUCAUUUGGAUCUCAAGCCUGAGAAUAUACUGAUAGAUGAUCACAUGGUACCCAAAAUUGCUGAUUUUGGUCUUUCGAGGUGCCUUAGUGAAGAGCAAACCCAGGUUUUCACUACACACCUAUGCGGAUCGUGCGGAUAUUUGGCACCCGAAUUCUUUAGUGGACAACUGACAUUCGCGUCUGACAUAUAUAGUCUUGGUGUUGUAAUUAUGGAGAUACUAACAGGAAAGAAGGGGUAUCCAGAAGAUGAGAACGUAGUUGAAAAUUGGAGGAAUCGGCUGGAGGGGGGCAUGCAGUUGGAGCAAGUAAGUGUAUGCACUCAUAUAGGGAUAGAGUGCAUGGAGCCGAACCCGAAGAAAAGACCGGCCGUACGGCAUAUAGUCGAUAGGCUUGCUGAAAUAGCAAGUAUUGUCCAAACAGACAUCACUGCUGCAUCAGUUGAGCAGCAGGUAAGCUUCGAGCAGCACAGAAUAGUAAGUACUUCUACAAAUGAAAUAGAGGAUGGUGCACAACGUCUUCAAAGGCUUCAAAAUGACCAAUGCCAGGAGAAGGAAGAUCAAUGGUCAAUACGGGGAUUGCAAGAUACGAAUCAAGACCCGAAAUACACAGGCAUUUCAAGCUCUAACUCUGGUGUGUCCGAAAAGUUGAGAAAUUUGAACAUCUUAAACAGAAAUCCACACACGGAUUUCGUGAGGAAUGGUGGAUCUACAAUGCAGCAACCAAAUAGUUUAAAGAUCUUCCUAGAGGAGGAGCUCAAGCCUAUCUUACAUACUGACAAUUUAAUUGGAGAGAAUGAAAAUGGUGUAGUUUACCGUGGUCAGCUCAUAGAUGGGACUGAUGUUGCAAUUAAAAAGUUACGUAAUGGCAUGGGCCAGGCAGAAAAGGAGUUCAGAGUGGAAGUUGAGGAUAUUGGCCAUGUAAGGCAUGAAAAUAUUGUCUGUCUGCUAGGAUACUGCGUUGAGGGAAUCCACAGGAUACUUGUGUAUGAGUAUGUCAACAAUGGAAACUUAGAACAGUGGAUGCAUGGCGCUAUGCGGCAACACGGUGUUCUUACUUGGAAAGCUCGAAUGAAAAUUGUUCUUGGAAUUGCUAGGGCGCUUGCUUAUCUACAUGAAGCCAUAGAACCAAAAGUUGUUCAUCGUGAUAUCAAAGCAAGCAGCAUCCUAAUCGACGAGGAUUUCAAUGGGAAGCUUUCCAAUUUUGGAUUGGCCAAGCUGCUGGGUGCAGGGAAGAGCCAUAUCACAACUCGAGUUAUGGGAACUUUCGGGUAUGUGGCCCCUGAAUAUGCCAACUCAGGUCUGUUAAACGAGCAGAGUGAUGUCUACAGUUUCGGUGUGCUGCUACUAGAAGUAUUGACUGGGAGGGAUCCUAUUGAUUAUGAUCAGCCAGCUAAUAUCACCAUUAAAUCAUAUAUAUAUUGUUCUUUGGUCAAUUUCGUUGUACGGGUUUGA
rnacentral:rRNA from 1 species